rnacentral:tRNA from 1 species
GCCUUGGUAGCUUACAUUAAAGCAAAGCAUUGAAGCUGCUUAGACGAUUUUUCAUCCUAAAGCA